UACCUGCAGCCCGAGUGGUGGCCGUUAUUAUUGGGCCUAAAACGUCCGUAGCCUGUUUGGUAGAUGCCUGUGUAAAUCGAACGGCUUAACCGUUCGAACUGCGGGUAGACCGCCAGACUUGGGAUCGGGAGAGUCACGAAGUACUCCGGGGGUAGAGGUGAAAUUCUGUAAUCCUCGGGGGACUACCGGUGGCGAAGGCGUCGUGAUAGAACGGCUCCGACGGUGAGGGACGAAGCCCUGGGGCGCAAACCGG
rnacentral:rRNA from 1 species